UGGGAAGCUUAUUCAGGGGCUAUGGACGAUUUCUCUCAGUUAGGCUUGCUGCAUCAACACAAUACACGGCACUCUACUGGACCAGCGGUUAAUUUGGAAAGAGUUAAUCAGAGAUGGGAAGAACAGUCGACAACAUCAAACGGAUCGUUUGGCGAGCUUUCAGAGUUAAUCAGAGAUGGGAAGAACAGCAAAGACUUCAAAACAACAUAUCGAU